CAAUGCAUUGCGUCCGUCCCCAUUCAAAGUCAAUGGGGAUCAGUCAACGGACGGAGGUAGUGGGCACGAGGCGUAAGAGUGGAACAGGUAGGAAUCAAAUGGAUUUCCCGUACAUAGGGUAACCAGACGUCCUCUUUUGCCCGGACAUGCCCUCUUUUUGAGGCAUUUAAAAGAAAAUGUGUGGCGGAAUCGUCCGGGAUUUUAUUAAAGCCUCAUACAUGUUCACAUUGAAUUGGCGUUGCGUUUCUCUGGGUCGUUAACAAACUAGUUAGGCUACGCCCUCCCCUACUCAGUUCUGUUCGCUUUGCAUAGGUGGAAGUGAGUAGGGGGAGUGGUUAAGUAGAGCCUUCAGAUUGGACGGUUUGACUUACUUAGUUACCGUCAUGUUUUGUAUAUAUUUGCUUUACCAUUAUUGUUUUGUAGGGGCAAACAUUAACAAAUUUCUCCUACAGGGGAUUGAUAAAGUUCUAUCUAUUGAACAGAAAGAAACACUUGGUCAUACAACACUGUACCACAGCAUUGGCCUACUGAAUGCCAAAGAUAUAUGUUAAGCAUUGGACUGAAUGCCACAUAAAUAUAUAGUUAUAUAUAUUUAUGCUUUUUUGCAAAAGUUAUGCUUUUGCAACGUUCAAAAGUUCAGGGAAAAGUAUAUGUCUCUACUGGUGUUGCUUAAGCCAAUAGCCUUUUGCGGCAGUGUUGUUUCUGAAUAUUAGUGUUAAGGGCCAAUAAUGCUUACUAUCAUACAUUAGUCACCAUGUCACCUUUGUAUGCAGUUACAUGUUAAUAUCCCCCCCCCCCUCAACAAAAUCUCACUCUUAACUGUACAUUAGAGUGAUAUGUUGAAAGUAUUAUCAAUAGCCUAAUAAUGACAGUAAGAAAAAAACAUGGUGAUCUGUUCAAGACUUUGGAAAGUUUGGGACUUGGACUUGGACUCGACUUGACUUUGGUGUGACUUUGACUUGGACUCGACUUGCCUUUCCCUGUCUUGACUUGGGACUUCACUCGGACUUGACUGCUAAGACUUGGGCUCACUUGGGACUUGCCAAACAGUGACUUUGUCCCAUCUCGGGUAUUGGCUUUAUCAUAUCCGGUCAAUAGGGUGCAAUAAUUCCCAUCACAAUGGCUUCAGAAAGCAGGCUUCACACACAGACAAAACUAAGUAAUUCUUCAUGGACUAGCCUAGCGGGGUUUUAUUUUAUUAAAAGACACGAAAGAUAACCUUGUGGUUCAUCCUGGACGGGUUCAUAUUUUCAGUUUCUCGCUGAAGAUCAGUUUGGCCUCGCUCCCUUAAAACUACCAAAUCCCAGAAAGACGACAAACAGCACUCAUAACCACUUAAGUGCACCAAUUCCAAAUGCUUUAUCUGAAAUUCACUGAAUAACAAUGUAAAAUAAGACGUUUGCGCUGAAGACUUUUCAAAGAGGGAUAUAUGUUUUUGCUUUUCUUCCGAUUGGAUUCAUCAAUAGCAAAGUGAGCCAGAGCUUCACUCCUUCUUUGAUUCUGAGGAGAGUUGUUUACAGCGUAAGGCUUAUAGACGUUCCUAAAACAUUCUCUCCCUAGCGCUGAUUGGUCCAUCUGCUUUUUAGGUUUUGAAAGUUGGUUCAUGGGAGUGAGGUCAGACAGUUAAUUAGCAGGAAACUGAAGAAUAAACUCGCAAGUUCAGGAUUAUCUCAAAAGGUUGGGGAAAAGAUCAGACCCAGGCGGCAGGAUUGACCAGACAAGGGGGCAUCAGAAAUGACAGAGGGCACAACUGUCCCCCUCAGUCUUAUGAAUCUGUCUAGCAACAAGAAUAUGGGCUGUCUCGCCACACUAGUGCCGUAAUACGCUGCGUAUGACCACAGCAGACACUGGUCAGCCUGCCCACCCUCAUUGAUGUAAUGCAAAACAAGCACCAAUUCUACCGAAUGAAACAACGUUGACAUCACUGUAGCAUAGCCAAUUGCUCCCCAACUCCACCUGGGUGACUUCUAUUGGGCUCCUCCCGAUAAAGGGUGGUGAUGUUAGAGAUCCGGGUAGUGUAAAGGUUGCAGUAAAUUAACAUGAUAAUAGUGCUCAACUGCCAUGCAGGAGAUGUCUCCCCAAUGGUGUGUGGUGAUUGCUGGUUUAACCUGGCCACAUUGAUUACUCAAUAUGUAUGUUAUAAGUAUGUAAAUUAUGCAACAGGCAUGCCGCCUCACCCAGCCGCAGAGUCCAAUCAGACUCGGCCAGGUGAGGCUGCUUAAACCAGCCAUCAUCCACACACACUCCCACAAUCACACCCUCUUCUUGGCAGCAAAGCCAAUGAUGAAAUAAUGUGUACGCUUGUCACUGACAUUUUCCACACAUUUCCAAAAAGCAACAAAACAAUACAUGCUCAAACAGGCUGACUCUUCUGACCCUGACACCUUGAAGAUGUGAUGAACCUCCUCAGCAGUCCCUCCUUCCGUUCCCCAUGGAAUAUGCUUGUAAGGUUCCUCCUUCCUUCCUUGAAUGCCAGGUGAAUCAGCUGUGAUUUCCUCCUGUGCAACAUGCUCCGUCUGUUCUCACUGAAUACUGUUCAAUGUUGAAGAAGAGUUCUCGCAGCUUGCCAUGGAUGCUUUAAAUACUAAUCCCAGCUACAAGGCCAUCAUCCUGUAGAUUUAUACUCGCUACUCCAUGCCGUUUGCUUGGAGAGGGAGUUGGCUGGGUUCAAGGACAUGGAUUUCUCCCACAAUUCUUCAAAAUCAUUCAGGUCGCAGUUGUUCAACCCAAAUGUGGGCAUUGCGGAUGACUGGGAUCCCAGUGGAGGGAUCAGUUGCUUCAGCUUGAAGUAACUUGUUAGUGGGGGUUGAGCUAUGGAGGUAGAUUUGUGUCUUUAUUAUGCAAUCAAAAAUAAUAGGUUUGAGAGCAAAACUUUCCACACUGCAAUCAAAAAAUAGGUUUGAGAGCAAAACUUUCCACACUGCAAUCAAAAAAUGUUUUAUUGCAAGAUAAAUGAAUGUGAUAAAAAAAAUAUUAAUGGGAAUCCAAAAGUUUUGUUUGCAAAUCCAAAAGUUUUGUUUGCAAAUCCA
ensembl:lncRNA